rnacentral:lncRNA from 1 species
UUCUUGUAGGGUCUGGAUUGGGACCCUUUUCUGGUAACAUCUUCCUGGUGACCAUGAAGGGACAAUACUGAAGAGACCCCUGACCCUAAGGAAAUAGACUGCAGCACCAAUGGGCCAACUUUGGUGAUCUCUGGCUGCUGCUCAGAAGAAACAAGAGGGAGGGAUGGGUAAUGUAAAACUCUGGAUCAAUAUUCUAAUUCUGAGCCUCUAAUGGAAUCAGCUAGCAACCACAUAUCAGCUUGGUUCAUGCUGCUGAGAAGUUCAGAGUCAAACCUGAAUCUCACCUCUGCAAAGAGCACAGGACUCCAUGGCAAACGUUGUAUAUAUGCAAGUCAUCCCUGGCACCACCUUGAUUUACUGCACCAGGCUUUCUUCAUUGUGACGAUGUUCUGUCUCUUUUCUAAAAAAAAAAUAAAAAUAAAAAUAAAAUAAAAAAAUAUCC